rnacentral:rRNA from 1 species
CCCUUAGAUGUUCUGGGCCGCACGCGCGCUACAAUGGCAAAAUCAACAAGUCACCUUUGUCGACAGACAUAGGAAAUCUCUUCAGUUUUUGCCGUGAUGGGGAUAGACCCUUGUAAUUGUUGGUCUCCAACGAGGAAUUCCUAGUAAACGCAAGUCAUUAACUUGCAUUGAUUACGUCCCUGCCCUUUGUACACACCGCCCGUCGCACCUACCGAUUGAAUGGUCCGGUGAAGUCUUUGGACUGCGCUCUACCCUGUGUAAGGCGUGGAAAAUUGAGUAAACCUUACCAUUUAGAGGAAGGUGAAGUCGUAACA